AUUGAACGCUAGCGGGAUGCCUUACACAUGCAAGUCGAACGGAGUGGCGAACGGGUGAGUAAUGUAUCGGAACGUGCCCAGUAGCGGGGGAUAACUACGCGAAAGCGUAGCUAAUACCGCAUACUAUUGGAGCGGCCGAUAUCGGAUUAGCUAGUUGGUGGGGUAACGGCUCACCAAGGCGACGAACCGUAGCUGGUGUGAUAGGGCGACCAGCCAACAUGGUAUUGUGACACGGCCCAGACGCCUACGGGAGGCAGCAGUGGGGAAUUUUGGACAAGGGGGGAAACCCUGAUCCAGCCAUCCCGCGUGGGCGAUGAAGGCCUUCGGGUUGUAAAGCACUUUUAGCAGGAAAGCGGUACCUGCAUAAUAAGCACCGGCUAACUACGUGCCAGCCGCCGCGGUAAUUC
rnacentral:rRNA from 1 species